UCCGUAGGGUGCGAGCGUUGCUCGGAAUUACUGGGCGUAAAGGGUUCGUAGGCGGUGUGGCAAGUCGGGAGUGAAAUCCCUGGGCUUAACCCAGGGGCUGCUUCCGAAACUGCUGUGCUUGAGUGUGGGAGAGGCGCGUGGAAUUGCAGGUGUAGCGGGGAAAUGCGUAGAUAUCUGCAGGAACACCCGUGGCGAAAGCGGCGCGCUGGACCACAACUGACGCUGAGGAACGAAAGCUAGGGGAGCAAACAGG
rnacentral:rRNA from 1 species